ACGCGGCGGCCGCCGCCAUCUUGUGCGGCCGCCAUCUCCUGGCCCGCCGCGCCCGCGACUCACCGUUUUCGUCAAAUAAAGACAUAAACCCAACGCUGCUCGCCCGGGACUGGGAUGAAGUGAGGCGCGAUAUAAACCCGAGUCCGAGUCCGAGGAGGCGGAGGCGAAGCGCAGCGAGGAGCGGCCGGGCCAGGUGCCGCCGCCGAGCAGCGGGGAGGGGCUGUCCCAGCGACGUCCGCGGUCCACACCCGUCAGCGCCGGAGCUGGGCGACCUGGCGCGGAGAGACGGCGCCGUGAGCCGUGGGCGGUCGGGGAGUGCACCUUCCCCGCCAGCCAGCGGCCCGAGGGGUCGAGGGGGCGGGAAGCACCGGGCAGGGGGCCGCCCCUUCACCGGACUCACCUCUGGAAUGUUCUCGCUCUGACUGAACAACGCCGCCGCCGCGCUCAAGCUACCCUCGGCCCCAGCGUCCGCCCCCCGCGUCAGGCCUCACUGCCCAUUGGCUGGAGGCCUGCCACAGCUCGCUCGUCAUUGGUUCGCUUGCGACGUCAAUCGCAUCUUUCCGCGCCCCUUCUGCUUCCUGAGGCUCAACUCGCGGCCUCGGCCCGCCUCCAGCCCCGGUCUCGCUUCCUUCCUCUCCCCUCCCCCCGCCUUUCCCAGAGGUCUUCGCGGCGCAGCCCUUGGGUCUCGCGAGACCCGGAGUGGCCCUGGUGGCGGGGCCGGGGUACCGGGGGCCGUUCUUUGUCGGUUUGGGCCUUGAGGGGGAGAUGGUGGUUGGUCCCCUCCCUCGCCGGGUCUGGGACAGGCCGCGGCGUCAUGGCGACUCCCGGGACGCAGGAGCCAUCGUCCUCGAAACUGCUUUCGAGGCCGUGUUUUUGCGGCUGCCACCUUCGGGGAGAGGAACCCGACCGCGUUCUCCCCGCAGCGGGCGCUCAUCUCCCUUUCCCGUUCUCCCGGGACGCCCGACUCCGGGCCUCGAGGAAUGAGUUGUUUUUCCACCUUAAGCCCCAGGCCUGGGUCUUUCAUCCCAGGGACGUCUUCUGUUUCGGACUCGGGGUGGAUUGGCCGCUGGCGGAACGAGUCCGUGACUCGCCAGUGACCGCCCAGGGCGGUCGCGAGGCCGCGCCGCCUCGGUGUCGGCCCGCAACCCAGCCUGCGCGCUUAGCUCAGCGCGUCGCCUCCCGUUUUCGGAAGAGGAGGCCCUUAAUUGGUUUGGAAUCCUGGGGCCUCCUGAAGGCGCUUCGUGGUGGGUUCCCACCUUCUGGUGAAGGCCUCCCUGCUCUCCCAGGGUUGAAAAGCGCUAUCCUUCGUGCUUCUCUUGUCACCUUUCUCCUAGUGGGCAUCACGUCGAGUCCACCCCCUCUAGUUUAUGACUUGUGAAUUCUUUGAUAAGCAAAUCGUAGCCCAGAGCAGGCAUUUAUAAUGAGAUUCCAAUGUAUUCCGUUGAAAAUUACUAUUAUUUAGGCCGGUCGCGGUGGCUCACGUCUGUAAUCCCAGCACUUUGGGAGGCUGAGGUGGGCGGAUCACCUGAGGUCGGGAAUUUGAGACCAGCCUGGCCAAUAUGGUGGAACCCUGUCUCUACUAAAAAUACAAAAAAUUAGCUGGGCGUGGUGGCUCGCUUGUAAUCCCAGCUACUCGGGAGGCUGAGGCAGGAGAAUCCUUGAACCCGGGAGGCACAGGUUACAGUGAGCCGAGAUCACACCACUGCACUCCAGCCUGGACAACAGAGCGAGACUGUCUCCAAAAAAAAAAAAAAAGAAAAUUUUUAUUAUUUAGAGAGAGGCUCUCAUAUUUUAGUUCUGUUGAAACUCUCCCAUUCUUUCUGAAACUUGGAUUUUUUUUGUGAAAACUUGAGUCUUAAAAACACAUCCAUAGUUCACCCUGAAGUUUGAAGACCUCACUUGACUGAUGGAGCGAGAGCCCCGCUAACCUGCACUCUGGUCUCUAAGGUGCAGUCAUCGAGAAGUCCUGAGCGGCCGUGCAGGUUUCCCGAUCUGGAAAAGAGAAAUGUUGCUGAGGACAGGAUGAGGUAGAUAAGGGGCUGCCCUUUGUUUUGGACCAGUUGCAUUUGCACUGAGGUUAGAAUUGGCAGCUAUGUUGAUUUUUAUAUCAAAAUCCAAGAUCGUGCUUCCAUAACUAAAAGCUUUAUAAACAACUUAAAAAUUGGCAGUGUUGGUAGGAAGAAAUAAAGGCACAAUCCAGAAUUGAGAGGUGAUUUGUGUCCUUUAGGGCAGGGACUUUUAUAAUCCCGCAGUGUGUACCUUGGUGUAUAGUUGUUAAGCCAAGUGCACAGUGCCUUGUGAGUACCAGGGUUCCCAUCAGACAAACUAGAAAAGGGGAUCCCAGACAUGCUGCUGCUGUUUCACUGUGGAGCAUGACUUAGCAGUAUUGAAACAGAUCUGACUUUUUGCUUGGCAGCACAAAAAUGAUGUUAUUUUAGAAACUCUGUUGGAAAGUAUAGGCAUGAAACUAGUCUGAGGUGAGAGGCCUGCCUUUUCAGAAAAGUUUUAAUGAAACACGAAGUAAUUAGCUUUUUUGUAUGUUUAGUGGCACAAUUUUUAAUUUCGUUGAAGUUUGUAAUAAUUUUAACUGCUUUUUAAUAUGUGUACCACUCAUUUGUAUGCAACCAUGGACAACUUAAAAAAAUACUUUUGUGUUCUUUUUCUCCCUUUUAUUUUUAGUUAAUACAUAAUAACACAUUUGUGGGAUACAAAGUGAUAUUUCAGUACAUGUAUACAACGUGUAAUGAUCAAAGCACAGUAAUCAGCAUAUCCAUCACCUCAGAUGUUUAUCAUUUCUUUGUGUUGGGAACAUUCAGAAUUCUCUCUUCUAGCUUUUUGAAAAUAUACAAUAGAUUGUUGUUAAGUAUAUUUACCUUGAAAUACUACAGAGCACUAGAACUUAUUGAGCUGCAAUUUUGUAUCAACCUCUCCCUCUCCUCUCCUCCCACUAGCCUUCCCAGCUUCUAAUAAACCACAAUUCAAGUCUCUA
rnacentral:lncRNA from 1 species